UGGUAUAAGGUGCAGAAUACUUUUUAUA
rnacentral:sRNA from 1 species